AACAUUUUCAAUGGCUCUUCUGAUGAUGUUGUACCUAGUCGGUGGGGCAAUGGAAGAAAACUGCCCCACGCCCAGGCCGAAUGCCAAAAUCUGGAAGUGCGAUAUAACCAAAUCAACCGAAUACGGAAAUCAAUGACCAGUGGAAAAUGUUUAAAGUGUGCCGGCUUCUAAUAAAUAUUUAUUGGCACAGAGUAAAAUUUAAAACCAUGUUCGAUUUCAAAUAAAAAUAGAAUCAAGGAUUGAACAAAUCUUAAAUGAUG